rnacentral:lncRNA from 1 species
UGCACUACUAGACUCACUAGGUAAUAAACAAAUAAAAGAUAUGCCAGAUGAAACACAGUAUAUAUACAAAUUUGAAAUAAAAAUGCAAUGUAAAAAUAAGUUAACAAAAGACAUUAAAUAAAACAGAAAAUGAAAUAAACAACUAAACAUAUAUACAAUAUUAGAUAGGACAAAGAAAUGAAAAAGGGAAUAAAGAGAAAGGGGAAGACCAGUGUCUUGCCCAGACCCGUGAGGGUCUUCUCCUUCAGGACCCAAGAGGGUCUCUUUCUCUCACCUUCAACCAGCGAAAUGGUCAUUGCUCCACGGCUGGGAGCUGCUCACGCCGUGGCGAGGAAAUAUAGUAGGGUUGCAAGGUCGUGAAUGAUGCCGGCACCAAGUGCCAACCAUGGGGAUGGUCACAAAACCGAGACUGCACAGUGUGAGGAGGGCCGUCGGAAAAGGUUGCCAACGCGCGAAGAACUUGCCUCACCUCUGGACGAUGAUGUCUAGCACCGCUGGGUCUUCCUAUUAGCAACACGUUUACAGCUCUUGAUGUUUGUGGCUUAAGCACAUCUAUAGGUGUAUUGUUGGUGAAGGUGGUAUAUUUGAAUGGAGAAGAAGAUUGAAGGAUAGCUCACUUUUUCUUCUCUCCUAGAUCUUGUUGUUUGAAGAAUAUGUAGACAAAGAGAAUAACAAAGAAAUGGGUUAUAUUGUUGUUGAGGUUUUUUGAGGGAGAGAGAGAAGUCGUCACUUUCUUGUUCUCUCUGUCAGUGUUACUGCAAUUGAUUGCCUUUUUUCCUCUAUGUAUUGGUAGCUUUGAUUUUGGGAUAUAAGGGUGCUGAUUGUUGUUCGUUAGGAUAAGGUAGAUACUAAUGUCUUUGUGUGUAAUUGUGUGUUUAGAUUUAGGGGCUGGUGGUGUUUAAGGAUAAGUUGCUCUGGUUUGUUUUUGGUUUUUGCUGAUUGUGGAUAGAAGCUAGUCAUUCAUGUGAUGGUAGUGGACUGCCAUCUUUUUCAAGAAAGAAGGGAAUGUUUACUCAUUUGUUCAUCAUAAGAACAAAACAAAAAACCACACCCAUCUCCCUUUAUUUUUAGGAGUCGAGAAAGAGAAAGUCGGUAGGAGAGGAUUUUUUUCAUUGAACCUCCGUGCUUUGAAAUGUUGGAAUAUGAUUAAUUUUAUAAUGAACACUCCUUAUCAUGCCAAG